ACGCUAGCUACAGGCUUAACACAUGCAAGUCGAGGGGCAUCAAGAAGAAAGCUUGCUUUCUUUGCUGGCGACCGGCGCACGGGUGAGUAACACGUAUCCAACCUGCCCUUUACUCGGGGAUAGCCUUUCGAAAGAAAGAUUAAUACCCGAUAGCAUAAUGAUUCCGCAUGGUUUCAUUAUUAAAGGAUUCCGGUAAAGGAUGGGGAUGCGUUCCAUUAGGUUGUUGGUGAGGUAACGGCUCACCAAGCCUUCGAUGGAUAGGGGUUCUGAGAGGAAGGUCCCCCACAUUGGAACUGAGACACGGUCCAAACUCCUACGGGAGGCAGCAGUGAGGAAUAUUGGUCAAUGGGCGCUAGCCUGAACCAGCCAAGUAGCGUGAAGGAUGAAGGCUCUAUGGGUCGUAAACUUCUUUUAUAUAAGAAUAAAGUGCAGUAUGUAUACUGUUUUGUAUGUAUUAUAUGAAUAAGGAUCGGCUAACUCCGUGCCAGCAGCCGCGGUAAUACGGAGGAUCCGAGCGUUAUCCGGAUUUAUUGGGUUUAAAGGGAGCGUAGGUGGACUGGUAAGUCAGUUGUGAAAGUUUGCGGCUCAACCGUAAAAUUGCAGUUGAUACUGUCAGUCUUGAGUACAGUAGAGGUGGGCGGAAUUCGUGGUGUAGCGGUGAAAUGCUUAGAUAUCACGAAGAACUCCGAUUGCGAAGGCAGCUCACUGGACUGCAACUGACACUGAUGCUCGAAAGUGUGGGUAUCAAACAGGAUUAGAUACCCUGGUAGUCCACACAGUAAACGAUGAAUACUCGCUGUUUGCGAUAUACAGUAAGCGGCCAAGCGAAAGCAUUAAGUAUUCCACCUGGGGAGUACGCCGGCAACGGUGAAACUCAAAGGAAUUGACGGGGGCCCGCACAAGCGGAGGAACAUGUGGUUUAAUUCGAUGAUACGCGAGGAACCUUACCCGGGCUUAAAUUGCAGUGGAAUGAUGUGGAAACAUGUCAGUGAGCAAUCACCGCUGUGAAGGUGCUGCAUGGUUGUCGUCAGCUCGUGCCGUGAGGUGUCGGCUUAAGUGCCAUAACGAGCGCAACCCUUAUCUUCAGUUACUAACAGGUCAUGCUGAGGACUCUGGAGAGACUGCCGUCGUAAGAUGUGAGGAAGGUGGGGAUGACGUCAAAUCAGCACGGCCCUUACGUCCGGGGCUACACACGUGUUACAAUGGGGGGUACAGAAGGCAGCUAGCGGGUGACCGUAUGCUAAUCCCAAAAGCCUCUCUCAGUUCGGAUCGAAGUCUGCAACCCGACUUCGUGAAGCUGGAUUCGCUAGUAAUCGCGCAUCAGCCACGGCGCGGUGAAUACGUUCCCGGGCCUUGUACACACCGCCCGUCAAGCCAUGGGAGCCGGGGGUACCUGAAGUACGUAACCGCAAGGAUCGUCCUAGGGUAAAACUGGUGACUGG
rnacentral:rRNA from 1 species